UUUCCCAACUCAUAUGGAAACGGGGUUUGUACAAUAAACUAAUGUCAUGUGAGAUCAUGACGUUAACGCUUUUAUUAAUUGGCUUUUUCAAUAGUGCCAGUGGCACUUACAGUAGCUUUCAACUGCAAGCAAUUCAACAUGACAGGCGCACUAAGAAAAACCAACAAGCCUCUUUCAGACAGACAAGCGGAAAAAAAAAAAAAAAAUCCUCCCACUGCUCUGCACCCAUCUGGCUCCGCUCCUUUUUCCACUAGAGCCUCUCUCCGGUGACUUCCACAUAACAGCUGCAAAGUAUAUUUGUGGUAAGACCAUGAUUUAAGUGCAGAGAUUCUCUACCUGUCUGACGUUUGAAGCUCCUUCACAUGCCUCCUUUUGGUCCCGCUUUCUUUAGAGCUUUUCAAACGCCUGCAUUGCAAACACACUGCAAGGCAAAAAGCCCGCAGCAGACGGGCGCCUUGCAAGGCCAGCCUGCUAGAAUCUGUGCAUUAUUCAGGAACAUGGAUUUUGCAGUGCUUUAUUUCGAAAGGAAGGGAGAAUCGCGGCAUUGGUCACAGACCCGCAGUGAAGAUGACGACUGGCAGACAUUAUUACAGACGGUCGUUAUACGAUCGGUUUCUGGUAGCAAGGUUCAGAGGGUGAGAGACUCGGCUUGUUACGUGCAAAGAGGUCAAGCCUAAAUGUUACAAUUACUCUUGUGAAACAUGGUCUGGGUGUCUUGUAACGUGGCACCUGUGACAAAGAGGCAACACCUUUGCUCACCACGUGCUUAUACAUCACUGCUGAAGUCCAAGCCGCACCUCUACAGGUAUCUUCUUUGCGAAAAAUACACUAUAUUGCCAAAAGUAUUUGGCCACCUGCCUUGACUCACAUUCCUAACUCAUAGGGUUCAAUAUGAUGUCGGCCCACUUUUUGCAGCUAUUACAGCUUCAACUCUUCCGGGAAGGCUGUCCACAAGGUUGCAAAGUGUGUUCAUAGGAAUUUUCGACCAUUCUUCCAAAAAUGCAUUGGUCAGGACUCUGUGCAGGCCAGUCAAGUCCAUCCACAUCAGACUCUGACAUCCAUGUCUUUAUGGAACUAGCUUUGUACACUGUUGCACAGUCAUGUUGGAAGAGGAAGGGGCCCCGCUCCAAACUGUUCCCACAAGGUUGGGAGCAUGGAAUUGUCCAACGUGUUUUGGUAUCCUGGGGCCUUCAAAGUUCCUUUCACUGGAACUAAGGGGCCAAGCCCAACUUGAGAAAAACAACCCCAAACCAUAAUUCCUCCACCACCAAAUUUCACGCUCAGCACAAUGCAGUCCAAAAUGUACCGUUCUCCUGGCAUCCUCCAAACUCAGACUCGUCCAUUAGCAGAUAAUGCGUCUCCACUGCUCUAGAGUUCAGUGGCGAUGUGCUUUACACCACUGCAUCCGACACUUUGCAUUGGACUUGGUGUUGUAUGGCUUAGAUGCUGAUGCUUAGCCAUGGAAACCCAUUCCAUGAAGCUCUCUGUGUACUGUACGUGGGCUAAUUGGAAGGUCACAUGAAGUUUGGAGCUCUGUAACAACUGACUGUGCAGAAAGUCGGCGACUUCUUUGCACUAUGCGCUUCAGCAUCCGCUGACCCCUCUGUCGGUUUACGUCGCUUACCACUUGGUGGCUGAGUUGCUGUUGUUCCCAAAAUCUUCCUGUUUCUUAUAAUAAAGCCGACCGUUGACUUUGGAA